AUUGAACGCUGGCGGCAGGCCUACCACAUGCAAGUCGAACGAUUGGCGGACGGGUGAGUCAUUUCUGGGAAACUGCCCGAUGGAGGGGGAUAACUACUGGAAACGGUCGCUAAUACCGCAUCCCAUCCGCUCUGCCCCGAUGGGCUUAGCUAGUAGGUGGGGUAACUGCUCACCUAGGCGACGAUCCCUAGCUGGUCUGCGAGGAUGACCAGCCACACUGGAACUGAGACACGGUCCAGACUCCUACGGGAGGCAGCAGUGGGGAAUAUUGUACAAUGGGCGAAAGCCUGAUGCAGACAUGCCGCGUGUAUUAAGAAGGCCUUCGGGUUGUAAAGUACUUUCAGCGAGGAGGCGUUACUCGCAGAAGAAGCACCGGCUAACUCCGUGCCAGCAGCCGCGGUAAUAC
rnacentral:rRNA from 1 species